ACGGACGAGGGAGACUAUCAGGUCAAACUACGCAACCUGACCCGUUUCCUCAAUGAAGGGGAUAAGGCGAAGGUCACCAUGCGUUUUCGUGGGCGUGAACAUGCUCAUCGUGAACUCGGGCUGGAAUUGCUCCGACGCAUUGAAAAUGACCUCGCCGAAGUGAGCAUCGUCGAACAGCAGCCGCUCAUGGAAGGUCGGCAGAUGGUGAUGGUGCUCGGCCCCAAGAAGAAAUAGCGACGCUCCGGCACGCGAGCCGUCCUGCAUUCCCCAAGUCGCAUCAAAUCCGUCAUCGGGCACCUGCAUAGGUGCCCG
rnacentral:misc_RNA from 1 species